UACAGAGGGUGCAAGCGUUAAUCGGAUUUACUGGGCGUAAAGCGCGCGUAGGCGGCUAAUUAAGUCAAAUGUGAAAUCCCCGAGCUUAACUUGGGAAUUGCAUUCGAUACUGGUUAGCUAGAGUGUGGGAGAGGAUGGUAGAAUUCCAGGUGUAGCGGUGAAAUGCGUAGAGAUCUGGAGGAAUACCGAUGGCGAAGGCAGCCAUCUGGCCUAACACUGACGCUGAGGUGCGAAAGCAUGGGGAGCAAACAGGAUUAGAUACCCUGGUAGUCCAUGCCGUAAACGAUGUCUACUAGCCGUUGGGGCCUUUGAGGCUUUAGUGGCGCAGCUAACGCGAUAAGUAGACCGCCUGGGGAGUACGGUCGCAAGACUAAA
rnacentral:rRNA from 1 species